AGAGUUGGCCGGGCAGUCGCCCGGAAGAUCUUCGCACCAGGAGGCGCCCGCGUCUCUGCGUGUGGGUUUUCCGGGAGGAAAGUCCGGGCUCCACAGGGCAGGGUGCCAGGUAAUGCCUGGGGGGCGUGAGCCCACGGAAAGUGCAACAGAAAGCAUACCGCCGAUGCAGCCUCCGCCUUCGUGGUGGCGGUUGCAGGCAAGGGUGAAAUGGUGCGGUAAGAGCGCACCGCACGGCUGGCAACAGGCGUGGCGAUGGUAAACCCCACCCGGAGCAAGACCAAAUAGGAACCCUUUCGUGCGGCCCGCACGGGGUUCGGGUAGGUCGCUAGAGGCGCGCGGUGACGCUCGUCCCAGAUGAAUGACUGUCCUCGACAGAACCCGGCUUACAGGCCGACUCUGCUU
rnacentral:RNase_P_RNA from 1 species